rnacentral:rRNA from 1 species
AUUGAACGCUGGCGGCAGGCCUAACACAUGCAAGUCGAGCGGAGCGGCGGACGGGCGAGUAAUGCCUAGGAAUCUGCCUGGUAGUGGGGGUUAACGUCCGGAAACGGGCGCUAAUAACGCAUACAAUAAGAUGAGCCUAGGUCGGAUUAGCUAGUGGGGGGGGUAAAGGCCUACCACGGCGACGAUCCGUAACUGGUCUGAGAGGAUGAGCAGUCACCCUGGAACUGAGACACUGCCCAGACCCCUCCGCUACGCUGCAGUGGGGAAUAUUAGACAAUUGGCGAAACCCUGACCCAUCCAUGCCGCGUGUCUUAAGAAGGUCUUCCGAUUUUAAAGCACUUUAAGUUUGGAAGCUUUACCAACAGAAUAAGCACCGGCUAACUUCGUGCCAGCAGCCGCGGUAAUUC